UGGGGAAUAACAGCCGGAAACGGCUGCUAAUACCGCAUAAUGCAGCGGCACCACAUGGUGACAGUUGUUAAAGCGGGGGAUCGCAAGACCUCGCGCCUGAAGAGAAGCCUGCGGCGGAUUAGCUAGUUGGUAGGGUAACGGCCUACCAAGGCGACGAUCCGUAGCCGGCCUGGGAGGGCGGUCGGCCACACUGACACUGACAUACGGGUCAGANUCCUACGGGAGGCAGCAGUUGGGAAUUUUGGGCAAUGGGCGCAAGCCUAACCCAGCAACGCCGCGUGAAGGACGAAGUUUUUCGGAAUGUAAACUUCACAAGAAUGGGAAGAAUAAGGAAGGGCUAAUACUCCUUCCGAUGACGGUACCAUUUGUAAGC
rnacentral:rRNA from 1 species